rnacentral:rRNA from 1 species
UACAGAGGUCUCAAGCGUUGUUCGGAUUCAUUGGGCGUAAAGGGUGCGUAGGCGGCGUGGUAAGUCGGGUGUGAAAUCUCGGAGCUUAACUCCGAAACUGCAUUCGAUACUGCCGUGCUUGAGGACUGGAGAGGAGACUGGAAUUUACGGUGUAGCGGUGAAAUGCGUAGAUAUCGGAGGAACACCGGUGGCGAAGGCGGCUCUCUGGGACGGUACUGACGCUGAGACGCGAAAGCGUGGGGAGCGAACAGG